rnacentral:lncRNA from 1 species
CAUCAGGAGCUACUAGACACAUGAGUCAAUAGAUGUCCACGUGACGUGUCGCCUAAUAGAACACCGACUCUAGUUCAAUCAUUCUCAUCCAUUCAUGUGCCAUCAGGUGGUCUGGAUGGAUAAUUUCCAUACGAGUUAAAGAGUUGGCUAUAGAAACUUCACAAGUUAUAUAUUACUUGUCAUUGAUAUAUAAAUCCAUUUAUAACUAUAGGUGUAUUACUUGUCACAAGUUAUGUAACA